rnacentral:rRNA from 1 species
AUUGAACGCUGGCGGCAGGCCUAACACAUGCAAGUCGAGCGAGCGGCGGACGGGUGAGUAAUGCCUAGGAAUCUGCCUGGUAGUGGGGGAUAACGUCCGGAAACGGGCGCUAAUACCGCAUACCAUCCGAUGAACCCAUAUGGGAUUAGCUUGUAGGUAAGGUAACGGCGUACCUAGGCGACGAUCCCUAGCUGGGCUGAGAGGAUGAUCAGCCACACUGGGACUGAGACACGGCCCAGGCGCCUACGGGAGGCAGCUGUGGGGAGUAUUGCACAAUGGGCGAAAGCCUGAUGCAGCGAGGCCGCGUGUAUGAAGAAGGCCUUCGGGUUGUAAAGUACUUUCAGUCGGGAGGCGUUACCGACAGAAGAAGCACCGGCUAACUCCGUGCCAGCAGCCGCGGUAAUAC